rnacentral:misc_RNA from 1 species
GAGAACGCAGCGAAAUGCGAUAAGUAAUGUGAAUUGCAGAAUUCAGUGAAUCAUCGAAUCUUUGAACGCACAUUGCGCCCCCUGGUAUUCCGGGGGGCAUGCCUGUCCGAGCGUCAUUACAACCCUCAAGCUCAGCUUGGUGUUGGGCCCCGCCGCCCCGGCGGGCCCUAAAGUCAGUGGCGGUGCCGUCCGGCUCCGAGCGUAGUAAUUCUUCUCGCUCUGGAGGUCCGGUCGUGUGCUCGCCAGCAACCCCCAAUUUUUUUCAGGUUGACCUCGGAUCAGGUAGGGAUACCCGCUGAACUUAAGCAUAUCAAUAAGCGGAGGA